GACGAACGCUGGCGGCGUGCUUAACACAUGCAAGUCGAACGGACAGGCCCUGCUUUUGUGGGGUGCUCGAGUGGCGAACGGGUGAGUAACACGUGAGUAACCUGCCCUUGACUUUGGGAUAACUUCAGGAAACUGGGGCUAAUACCGGAUAUGAGCUCCUGCUGCAUGUUGGGGGUUGGAAAGAUUCGGCUGUUGGGGAUGGACUCGAUGGUUAUCAGCUGGUUGGUGGGGUAGUGGAUUCCAAAGGCUUUGACGGGUAGCCGGCCUGAGAGGGUGACCGGCCACCUUGGGACUGAGAGACGGCGCAGACUGGUACGUGACGCAGUAGUGGGGAAUAUUGCACAACGGGGGGAAGUCAGAUGCAGCAAUGCCGCGUGCGGGAUGACGUCCUUCGGGUUGUAAACCGCUUUCGCAUGUGACGAAGAGUGAGUGACGGUAAUGGGUAAAGAAGCACCGGCUAACUACGUG
rnacentral:rRNA from 1 species